UUCAUAAUAACUCAACGAAUCGCAUGGCCCUUGCGCCGGCGAUGGUUCAUUCAAAUUUCUGCCCUAUCAACUUUCGAUGGUAUGGUCUUGGCUUACCAUGGUCUCAACGGGUAACGGGGAAUUAGGGUUCGAUUCCGGAGAGGGAGCCUGAGAAACGGCUACCACAUCCAAGGAAGGCAGCAGGCGCGCAAAUUACCCAAUCCCAAUUCGGGGAGGUAGUGACAAUAAAUACUGAUACAGGGCUCUUUUGGGUCUUGUAAUUGGAAUGAGUACAAUCUAAAUCCCUUAACGAGGAACAAUUGGAGGGCAAGUCUGGUGCCAGCAGCCGCGGUAAUUCCAGCUCCAAUAGCGUAUAUUAAAGUUGUUGCCGUUAAAAAGCUCGUAGUUGAACCUUGGGCCUGGCUGAUCUGUCCUCCUAAUCGAGCGUACGGAUUCGGUCGGGCCUUUCCUUCUGGGGAGCCCGAUGCCCUUCACUGGGCGUCGCGGGGAACCAGGACUUUUACCUUGAAAAAAUUAGAGUGUUCAAAGCAGGCCUUUGCUCGAAUACAUUAGCAUGGAAUAAUAGAAUAGGACAGAGGUUCUAUUUUGUUGGUUUCUAGGACCGCUGUAAUGAUUAAUAGGGAUAGUCGGGGGCGUCCGUAUUCAAUUGUCAGAGGUGAAAUUCUUGGAUUUAUUGAAGACGAACUACUGCGAAAGCAUUCGCCAAGGAUGUUUUCAUUAAUCAGUGAACGAAAGUUAGGGGAUCGAAGACGAUCAGAUACCGUCGUAGUCUUAACCAUAAACUAUGCCGACUAGGGAUCGGACGGUGGUUUUUUUAUGCCCCGUUCGGCACCUUACGA
rnacentral:rRNA from 1 species